UUUACUGUCAGUUUCACGAUUCUCACAAUAAACUUAAUAUGUGGAAAUAUCUUUUAAUAUAUCGCUUUUAUAAUGUUCACUCUAAUUGUUACUCAUAUGAUGACGUCAAGUGGAGAGCAUAAUUUGGAUUAUAUACAAGUAAAUUCAUUCAUUUUUAAUAUUAUAGAACAAAACGAAAUUAUAAUUAAUUGGAUUAAGUCCACAUUCACAAAAGGAAAUUCUGCGGGCUGGUUCUUUAAAUAUCCACAUUUUGAGCCAGCCUCGAGGCACAAUUUAUUGUAUAUUGUAUACGCACCUCUGUCGAAGCACCGGAUCCACGCCCACUGUCGGCUCAUCCAGUAUGAGUAGCUCCGGUUCAUGGAGCAGAGAGACAGCCAGGCUCAUGCGACGCUGCUGUCCACCGCUCAAAUUCUUGACAAAUUUCGAGCCAUUUGGCAAAUUGAGCAAUUUGAGCAGAAAUUCGGUACGAUCCUCUAUGUCGCUGCGGGGCAUGGCGGCAAUAAGUCCAAAGUAGAUUAAAGUCUCACGCAUUGUGAACUCCCCGUAAAGAGCUGUCUCCUGCGAAAUGGGAAUUAAAAGCGUAUUAUAUAGCGAGAGCGAACGAAUGCAAAUACCGUUGCCUACUUCACGGCGCUGCAGCUUUAUGAGCCCCGGGGACUAAAAAUAUUACUGCGCUUUGUCGAAAUUAAAAGUUCUGUACUGUGCAGCAGUUAAAAGUUUUUUUA